GUCUAUAGCCAUACCACCCUGGACGUGCUCAAUCUCAUCUCAUCUCGGAAGCUAAGCAGGGUUGGGUAUGGUUGGUAAUUAAGUGGGAGACAAAUAAAAAUUGUAUUAAUAUAUAUU
ensembl:rRNA 5S_rRNA 5S ribosomal RNA